GUGUCAGCCGCCGCGGUAAUACGGGGGGGGCAAGCGUUGUUCGGAAUUACUGGGCGUAAAGGGCGCGUAGGCGGCCUGCUAAGUCGGAUGUGAAAUCCCUCGGCUCAACCGAGGAACUGCAUCCGAUACUGGCGGGCUUGAAUCCGGGAGAGGGAUGUGGAAUUCCAGGUGUAGCGGUGAAAUGCGUAGAUAUCUGGAGGAACACCGGUGGCGAAGGCGGCAUCCUGGACCGGUAUUGACGCUGAGGCGCGAAAGCUAGGGGAGCAAACGGGAUUAGAAACCCGUGUAGUCC
rnacentral:rRNA from 1 species